UGACGCAGCAACGCCGCGUGAUCGAAGAAGGUCUUCGGAUUGUAAAGAUCUUUUAUCAGGGACGAAGAAAGUGACGGUACCUGAUGAAUAAGCUCCGGCUAACUACGUGCCAGCAGCCGCGGUAAUACGUAGGGAGCGAGCGUUAUCCGGAUUUACUGGGUGUAAAGGGCGAGUAGGCGGGCUGGUAAGUUGGAAGUGAAAUGUCGGGGCUUAACCCCGGAACUGCUUUCAAAACUGCUGGUCUUGAGUGAUGGAGAGGCAGGCGGAAUUCCUAGUGUAGCGGUGAAAUGCGUAGAUAUUAGGAGGAACACCAGUGGCGAAGGCGGCCUGCUGGACAUUAACUGACGCUGAGGAGCGAAAGCGUGGGGAGCAAACAGGAUUAGAUACCCUGGUAGUCCACGCCGUAAACGAUGGAUACUAGGUGUGGGAGGUAUUGACCCCUUCCGUGCCGCAGUUAACACAAUAAGUAUCCCACCUGGGGAGUACGACCGCAAGGUUGAAACUCAAAGGAAUUGACGGGGGCCCGCACAAGCAGUGGAGUAUGUGGUUUAAUUCGAAGCAACGCGAAGAACCUUACCUGGUCUUGACAUCCCGGUGACCGGCAUAGAGAUAUGCCCUUCCCUUCGGGGACAGCGGUGACAGGUGGUGCAUGGUUGUCGUCAGCUCGUGUCGUGAGAUGUUGGGUUAAGUCCCGCAACGAGCGCAACCCUUAUUGUUAGUUGAUACAUUUAGUUGAUCACUCUAGCGAGACUGCCGUUGACAAAACGGAGGAAGGUGGGGACGACGUCAAAUCAUCAUGCCCCUUAUGACCAGGGCUACACACGUACUACAAUGGCAGACAUACAGAGGGAAGCAAAGCUGUGAGGCAGAGCAAAUCCCUAAAAGCUGUCCCAGUUCAGAUUGCAGGCUGCAACCCGCCUGCAUGAAGUCGGAAUUGCUAGUAAU
rnacentral:rRNA from 1 species